rnacentral:rRNA from 1 species
CCACAAAGGGAUGCGAACCUGCGAGGGGGAGCGAACCCCAGAAAAGCUGUCCCAGUUCGGAUUGUAGUCUGCAACCCGACUACAUGAAGCUGGAAUCGCUAGUAAUCGCGAAUCAGAAUGUCGCGGUGAAUACGUUCCCGGGUCUUGUACACACCGCCCGUCACACCAUGGGAGAUGGAUAUGCCCGAAGUCAGUGACCUAACCGAAAGGGAGGAGCUGCCGAAGGUGGAGCCAUUAACUGGGGUGAAGUCGUAACAAGGUAAC